AAUCAACGCUGGCGGCGUGCCUCAGACAUGCAAGUCGAACGAUUAAGACUCUCUUCGGAGAGUGUAUAAAGUGGCGCACGGGUGAGUAACACGUAGGUAAUGUGCCUUUGGGUGGGGAAUAACUUAGGGAAACUUAAGCUAAUACCGCAUAAUGCAGCGGCUCGACAUCGAGACAGUUGUUAAAGAUUUAUCGCCUAAAGAGCAGCCUGCGGCAGAUUAGCUAGUUGGUAAGGUAAUGGCUUACCAAGGCGACGAUCUGUAUCCGACCUGAGAGGGUGGUCGGACACACUGACACUGAAUAACGGGUCAGACUCCUACGGGAGGCAGCAGUCGGGAAUUUUGGGCAAUGGGCGAAAGCCUGACCCAGCAACGCCGCGUGAAGGAUGAAGUAUUUCGGUAUGUAAACUUCGUAAGAAUAGGGAGAAUAAAUGACGGUACUAUUUGUAAGGUCCGGCUAACUACGUGCCAGCAGCCGCUGUAAGAC
rnacentral:rRNA from 1 species